UACGAAGGGUGCAAGCGUUAAUCGGAAUUACUGGGCGUAAAGGGUGCGUAGGCGGUUCGUUAAGUCUGUCGUGAAAUCCCCGGGCUCAACCUGGGAAUGGCGAUGGAUACUGGCGAGCUAGAGUGUGUCAGAGGAUGGUGGAAUUACCGGUGUAGCGGUGAAAUGCGUAGAUAUCGGUAGGAACACCAGUGGCGAAGGCGGUCUCCUGGGGCAUUCUUGACGCUGAGGCGCGAAAGCUGGGGGAGCAAACGGG
rnacentral:rRNA from 1 species